rnacentral:rRNA from 1 species
AACGCUGGCGGCGUGCUUCAUACAUGCAAGUCGAACGAGAAGCAAUCUUCGGAUUGUGGAAAGUGGCGGACGGGUGAGUAAUGUGUAGAGAAUCUGCCCUAGAGUGGGGGAUAGCAGUUGGAAACGACUAUUAAUACCCCAUAUGCGCGUAGCUGAGAUGCUAUUCGUGAAAACUCCGGUGCUCUGGGAUGAGUCUGCAUCUGAUUAGCUAGUUGGCGGUGUAAUGGACCACCAAGGCGACGAUCAGUAGCUGGUUUGAGAGGAUGAUCAGCCACAAUGGGACUGAGACACGGCCCAUACUCCUACGGGAGGCAGCAGUAGGGAAUUUUGCGCAAGUGGGGGCAACCCUGACGCAGCAACGCCGCGUGAAUGAAGAAGCCCUUCGGGGUGUAAAGUUCUGUCAGUGGGGACGAAACUUGACGGUACCCACAGAGGAAGCAUCGGCUAACUCCGUGCCAGCCGCGGC